AGCAUCUGAAAUGAAGUAGGACCACC
rnacentral:rRNA from 2 species